CUGACUUUUGACAGCUGUAUUCUCUAGGUGCUGGAAACACCUUUGCAUCAGAAAGGUUUACCGAGAGCUGUGAGAGGGAUUGUUGCUGUGUCACUGGCUGCAGGGCUGAUAGCCUGGGCACAACUUCACAGGGGCUGUCCACAGUGUUUUCACAAAACUGCUCAUUGUUAGAAGUGCCUUCUUUGAGAGCAAGACGUGAUAAAGAGCUGGAUAUUGAGGAACUGGAGGAAUCCCUGUGGGAUAUCAAGACAGCUAAUGACAUGUGACAUAGGAGAAGCACUAUAGAGAAAUGGGAUUGGUCAGUCUGACAAAGACGAAGUUGACAGGGGAAGAGGGGACGGAGAACAUAGGAAGAGGAAGAGGAAGAGGAAGAGGAAGAGGAAGAGGAAGAGGAAGAGGAAGAGGAAGAGGAAGAGGAAGAGGAAGAGGAAGAGGAAGAGGAAGAGGAAGAGGAAGAGGAAGAGGAAGAGGAAGAGGAAGAGGAAUAAAAAGGUGUACAUAGCAUCAUGAAAAUGACAGCUGUAGUCCUGAACUUCUCCACUAUUUUCUCUCUUCCCUUCUGAGGAUAUCAGGAGAAUCAAAAGCUUUCCAUAGAUGAGGCGCAUCCUGGGGAAAGAG